UACGUAGGGGGCUAGCGUUGUCCGGAUUUAUUGGGCGUAAAGAGCGUGUAGGCGGCCAGGUAGGUCUGCUGUGAAAACUCGAGGCUCAACCUCGAGACGUCGGCGGAAACCAUCUGGCUAGAGUCCGGAAGAGGAGAGUGGAAUUCCUGGUGUAGCGGUGAAAUGCGCAGAUAUCAGGAAGAACACCCGUGGCGAAGGCGGCUCGCUGGGACGGUACUGACGCUAAGGCGCGAAAGCGUGGGGAGCGAACAGG
rnacentral:rRNA from 1 species